rnacentral:rRNA from 1 species
GAUGAACGCUGGCGGCGUGCCUAAUACAUGCAAGUCGAGCGAACGGACGAGAAGCUUGCUUCUCUGAUGUUAGCGGCGGACGGGGGAGUAACACGUGGAUAACCUACCUAUAAGACUGGGAUAACUUCGGGAAACCGGAGCUACUACCGGAUAAUAUUUUGAACCGCAUGGUUCAAAAGUGAAAGACGGCCUUGCUGUCACUUAUAGAUGGAUCCGCGCUGCAUUAGCUAGUUGGUAAGGUAACGGCUUACCAAGGCAACGAUGCAUAGCCGACCUGAGAGGGUGGUCGGCCACACUGGAACUGAGACACGGUCCAGACUACUACGGGAGGCAGCAGUAGGGAAUCUUACGCAAUGGGCGAAAGCCUGACGGAGCAACGCCGCGUGAGUGAUGAAGGUCUUCGGAUCGUAAAACUCUGUUAUUAGGGAAGAACAUAUGUGUAAGUCACUGUGCACAUCUUGACGGUACCUAAUCAGAAAGCCACGGCUAACUACGUG